UUUUUUUUUUUUGUUGUUGUUGUUAAUCUAAAUGUUCUGACAUUUUAUUUUGAACAAAUAAGGACCUCUAUUAUUUAUAGAGCUACUUCUCUACUGACCAUACAGAAGAAAAGACUGAAGUAGAUUAAGAAAUAUUGAAAUUGAAUAUGCUCUUUGAUCUCAUCAGUCUAUUAAUAGAUACAAUUAUUAGCAUUCACUAUGUGUCUAAUAAAUUGUGACCAUAUGUUGUAUACAUUCAAUGUCUGAGCACUAUUUUGUUGGUGGAGAGAGUGAAAGAUCUUACAUGUAAUUCAGUACUUGUACAUUUUUAUUUAUUUAUUUUUGUGUGCCCUUUAAAUAAAUAUCUUUUUUUUUGUAUUAUUACUUACAGAACUAAUUGAAACUGUUUAUUUGGCUAAGAUGAAAGUCUAGGGUUUAAAAAGGAAUUCAUUGAAAUGUUGUUAGUAAUAAUAGAAGAAGAUAAUCAAAGAGAACCAUUUGGAUUGAUUACCAUUUGCGUUAUUGCUUUUUCCCUGAUCAAUGAAGGCAUCUGGAACAGGCAUUAUCAGAAAUUAAAAGCUGCAAAAAACUUUUUUUUUACAUUUAGUUUGUAGAAUAAUAAUCUUUUUUUUUUUGUAUUGUACUGUACAUCCUUUUAAAUCAAGCCAUUUAGUCAAUGCAUUGAACUUUUGAAUAUCCACUACCACAUCCAUUGACCUUGAAGUCAAUGACACUUCCCAAUAUAUAUUGACCUCAAAGAUAUGUCCGUGUCCAUUUGCCCAUAUAUUGACCUUGGGCAUGUCUACUUCUCCAUAAAUUGACCUUGUAGACUUGAUUGCCCACUUCCCCAUACAUUGACUUGUGGAUAUCCACUUCCUUGACCUUGUAGACAAAUUAUCACUCCCCCAUAGAUUAGCUUAAAAUCCUUUCCUCAUUGACCUACCCAGACAUUGUAUUGAUGUUUGAUAAUCAUCAAGUUCUGUGCAUUCAGACACCAUGUCUGUCAGUCACCACACACUCACACUAGCAUAUGAUGUUGAGAUCGUCUUAG